GACAGAGGGUGCAAACGUUGUUCGGAAUUACUGGGCGUAAAGCGCGUGUAGGCGGCUAAGUAAGUCGGGCGUGAAAUCCCACGGCUCAACCGUGGAAGUGCACUCGAAACUGCAUAGCUAGAGUCCUGGAGAGGAAGGUGGAAUGCUUGGUGUAGAGGUGAAAUUCGUAGAUAUCGGGAGGAACACCUGUGGCGAAGGCGGCCACCUGGACGACAACUGACGCUGAGACGCGAAAGCGUGGGUAGCAAACAGG
rnacentral:rRNA from 1 species